rnacentral:rRNA from 1 species
AGUGAACGCUGGCGGUAGGCCUAACACAUGCAAGUCGAACGGCAGCACAGGAGAGCUUGCCCUCUGGGGGGCGAGUGGCGGACGGGUGAGGAAUACAUCGGAAUCUGCCCAGUCGGGGGGGAUAACGUAGGGAAACUUACGCUAAUACCGCAUACGACCUUCGGGGGAGAGAGGGGGAUAGCAAGACCUCUCGCGCGUGUAUGAGCCGAUGUCGGAUUAGCUAGUUGGCGGGGUAAUGGCCCACCAAGGCGACGAUCCGUAGCUGGUCUGAGAGGAUGAUCAGCCACACUGGAACUGAGACACGGUCCAGACUCCUACGGGAGGCAGCAGUGGGGAAUAUUGGACAAUGGGCGCAAGCCUGAUCCAGCCAUACCGCGUGGGUGAAGAAGGCCUUCGGGUUGUAAAGCCCUUUUGUUGGGAAAGAAAUCUUUCAGGCUAAUACCCUGGGGGGAUGACGGUACCCAAAGAAUAAGCACCGGCUAACUUCGUG